UUUGUAUGUAGUUUUUAAAAUCGGUUCUUAAAUAGCCGAUUUUAAAAGUGCUACUUUUAAAAUCAGCUAUCAAAGAACUAAUUUUAAAAACUACAUACAAA
rnacentral:miRNA from 1 species